rnacentral:lncRNA from 1 species
AAUUCGCCUUUAACGAGAAUCGAACUUAAGACCUCUCACUUACAAAUGAAGACGAAUACUAUUAGACUGUGGUACUAAGUGGCAAAACAAUAGUUGGUGUGAAAACAAAACAUUUCCUUCUCAUUUAGUGGAUUUCAGAAGGUACAAUGUCCUAUAUUUUCGGCAAAUGUGUUUUUUUUUUUUUUGUUAAACAAUAGAUUUUGUCAAAUUAGAUGUUAGAUGUAAGAUGUUAAAUAUUUUCGGCAAAUGUUAGAGAGACAAUUUUUUUAGACUACAAUUAUAAAUCAUCUUAUGUUGUUAAACUUUGAGUCGGUGAAAUGGCACUAAUCAAAUUUGAUACUCUCUCUAAAGAAAUUUUAACCAAACAAUGUUAUCUAUACUAAAAGGAUGGUGGUGUUGGUUAAGCCUCACAAUGAGCGCGUAAUAAUAUGGUCUAACUUUAUCUUUGGCGAGAAUCGAACCUAACUCCUCUCACUUACAAGUGAAAAUGAAUACUAUUAAGUUGUAGGUACAUGUCUAGUUCAAAAGAUGAUCGUUUGAGGUUUUAUCGUAAAACGCAUUGAUACUCAACUUUUGAUCUAACAAACAACAUCAUGAUCUUACUUCUUAAAGUUAUAUAUUUUCCUUCAACAAAUCCAAAAAUAUUCCGAUGUAAAUUGCCUGUCAAUAAUAGAUCAAGCUCGGUCUACAUCAGCAUACCCAACGAACAAACAUCGUCUCAUAGAGGAAUAUGUUUUGAAA